AGAGUUUGAUCAUGGCUCAGAAUCAACGCUGGCGGCGCGCCUAACACAUGCAAGUCGAGCGAGAAAGUCCUUCGGGAUGAGUACAGCGGCGGACGGGUGAGUAACACGUGGGUAACCUGCCCUCGAAUGGGGAAUAACUCCGGGAAACUGGAGCUAAUACCGCAUACGAUCCUUCGGGAUGAAAGCCUUCGGGCGUUCGAGGAGGGGCCCGCGCCCGAUUAGCUAGUUGGUAGGGUAAUGGCCUACCAAGGCUCCGAUCGGUAGCCGGCCUGAGAGGGCACACGGCCACACUGGCACUGAGACACGGGCCAGACUCCUACGGGAGGCAGC
rnacentral:rRNA from 1 species